CUACCUCCAAAUUUAACGGAUCUAUAUUUAGAUUAUCAUUUAUUCUUGAAGAGCAUCAGAGAUCUAGUAACUAAGUGUCUUAAGCUGCAUGUGCUCUCAGUAUCAUGGUGUGGUCAUGAAGAAUCGGAAUAUGGAACUGUCUCGACAAGCCAAGUUAACGUGUUGAAGUCCCUACAACAGUUAAUCAGGACAUGCAUCCAGUGUGACUUCCAGCAAAGGGAUUUUUUUCUCAUUUCUUUUCCUGAAGUCAGAAGUCCAGAGUUGUUCAGUUACCAGUUUAUAAAUAAAUAUCAGAUCUCAAUCGACCUGAAUCCAUCUUGGUAUACCGAUAAAUUCAUGGGUUUUACCAUAUGUUACGGUUGUAAUACAACACGUGUGAGUGUGGUAGCUACAUUGGUCUGCAAAUCGGACCCUGAACGAAAACAUUCCUUGAAGUAUGUAAUCAAGUGUUGGUUCAAGUCGUCUGUCAUGUGUUUCAUCUACAUACCAUUUGAAACAUUGUGGCACGUUUCUGGCAAUAAAGAAGAGAAGAAGAACCCAAAUGAUUAUUACCUUUUUGAGGUAUCGUCAAAUCUCAGACAGGAAAUAUGUUGGGGAAUUCGCCUCGAGUAUGAGAAUAAGAAUAAGAGAUGGAGAAGGAAGCAGCGAGCGAUGCAAGGUCCCAAACUCUUUCCAGUUCUGCCAAAAGAUAGUGCAGUAACAACUGAAAUUGGCUGUUCACGGGCGUCUGCUGAGUAUGACAUUGCCACAGAUAGGGAGGUGGAUCAAGCAGCAAUGACAGUUCAUCAAAAGGAACAUAAAUCUCAUAACGUUGAGCUGAUUAGAGUUUGUGGCAGCCCAUCAAGGAAAAUGGACGAUGUUCCAAGAAAGAGAAAGAGGAAAAGAAAUAGAAAGAAAAAGAGAAAGAUAGUUGCUGCGACAGAUGAGCGCAGUUUGCAUGACAGAAGGGUUACCUAAACGAGAAAAUUAAGGAAGCAUCAUUGGAUUUUAAGAACAAAAAGAUGUAAUGGAGAAAUUACUCCAUCAUCAAAGCCAGGUGAAGGCUUUCAAGUUACAUGAUGAGCUUUUGGUAUUGUUGAAGUGGGUGAAAGUCACACAUUGGCUGAGGAAUGGAAUGACAGUAUGCUUAUAUGGAUUUGAGCAAUUCUCUCCUCAUGAGCUAGCUUUUGGAGUUGAGUUAGGCCCGGAUGCCAUAUCUUCUGAUGUUAUAGAGGCAGGUCCAUCCCCAUUUGGCUCCCGGGCCACGCGUCUGUUGGGCCCAGGGCGUGAAGGGAUGGACUUGAGCAAUGCUCCUAUCAUGAGCUAGCUUUUGGGGUUGAGUUAGGCUCGGAUGCCAUAUCUUUACAGGUAUUUCAAGGGACAUGGCAAAAAGGAGGAAACUGAAAGGUAGUUUCAAGAGAUACACAUAUAAUUUGUAUAGAUCAUCGUGAUAAUGUUUUUGCAUUUGAGUAUCGUGAAAAUAUCGGAAAAACAAGGAGAAGAUAAUGCGACUAAAUAUAACUCGCCAGUUUUUCAGGACACGGCUUAGGUGAAAGGUAAAGAAAAUCAGCUACAUUUGCCUCACUUUCUCAAAUGGCAUUUCACGAGGUUGUGUUGUACUCUCAAUCUGAAUUUCGUAUUUGUUUCCUGUUCUUACUAAUAAAUAAAACCAUCUUUUUAUACA